rnacentral:rRNA from 1 species
UAACAAGGUCUCCGUAGGUGAACCUGCGGAGGGAUCAUUACACAAAUAUGAAGGCGGGCUGGAACCUCUCGGGGUUACAGCCUUGCUGAAUUAUUCACCCUUGUCUUUUGCGUACUUCUUGUUUCCUUGGUGGGUUCGCCCACCACUAGGACAAACAUAAACCUUUUGUAAUUGCAAUCAGCGUCAGUAACAAAUUAAUAAUUACAACUUUCAACAACGGAUCUCUUGGUUCUGGCAUCGAUGAAGAACGCAGCGAAAUGCGAUAAGUAGUGUGAAUUGCAGAAUUCAGUGAAUCAUCGAAUCUUUGAACGCACAUUGCGCCCUUUGGUAUUCCAAAGGGCAUGCCUGUUCGAGCGUCAUUUGUACCCUCAAGCUUUGCUUGGUGUUGGGCGUCUUGUCUCUAGCUUUGCUGGAGACUCGCCUUAAAGUAAUUGGCAGCCGGCCUACUGGUUUCGGAGCGCAGCACAAGUCGCACUCUCUAUCAGCAAAGGUCUAGCAUCCAUUAAGCCUUUUUUUCAACUUUUGACCUCGGAUCAGGUAGGGAUACCCGCUGAACUUAAGCA